UGGAGUGGAGCGCGGCCGUGUCGCGAUUGACGAAGUCGGGUACGAGAACGCCAGGGGGAAGCACGCCGCCGCGGUCCUUGUCCAUGAGAUGAGCGGCGCACCGUGAUCGCGCGCCGGGACCACGCCGCCGGCGCGGGAGUAUAGCAUGUCGUAAUAAAAUCAAUUUCUUAUUUUGGAUUUUUGGAAUGGAAUAAAAAAAUUCCGAUUUUCUGGGUCUAAUGAAUAAAUGGAUAGAGCCUGGCUCCAAUUCUGGUAAAAUAAAAAGCAACGAGCUUAACUUCUUAAUUUUAAUUGGAAGGACUCCCUGAUCUAAUUAGACGUUAAAAAAAGAUUAGUGCUUGAUGUGGGGAAAGGCUGGUUUUCCUAU
rnacentral:lncRNA from 1 species